rnacentral:rRNA from 1 species
UACGGGGGGAGCAAGCGUUGUUCGGAUUUACUGGGCGUAAAGGGCGCGUAGGCGGUCAGCACAAGUCAGUUGUGAAAUCUCCGGGCUUAACUCGGAAAGGUCAACUGAUACUGUGCGACUAGAGUGCGGAAGGGGCAACUGGAAUUCUCGGUGUAGCGGUGAAAUACGUAGAUAUCGAGAGGAACACCUGCGGCGAAGGCGGGUUGCUGGGCCGACACUGACGCUGAGGCGCGAAAGCCAGGGGAGCGAACGGG